AGCUCCUCCCGCUGCAAACGCGCGAACUUCUGUGGCUCGAUCCCAGUGCGCACUCCUCCCAGUGCACUGGCCGGUUGGAGUUUUGCCAGGGAGGCCUUCCCACCUGCCUGUCUCAAUGGAAAGAAUAUGUGGAUUUGGAUUCAGGGACACCUUUAUCACCUAUGUGACUUUAGGCUAAUAUAUCUGACCACACUGGCUCUGCAAGACCAUGGCUGAAGACUGCUUAAAUGUUGUCCCUGAGUCAAUAUCUUAACAUUUAUUGCAUCUUUUAUUUUCUUAACAAAAAUGAAGGCAUUUGUGACUGUGUUGUUUUCCAUCAAAAAUUGGGAAUCAUGCCCUUUCAUACAACACAGUUGUGGUCCAUCUUUUCUUCUGGGGUAGUAGAAAGAUCAAGAUCAUCAGAGAACGUAGGGUGCAAUAUCAGCUCUCCAGUACCAAACACGGUUCAUUAACCUCUCGGAACCUCAGGUGUCUUGGGGCAUAGUUCAUGUCUCCUGGCCCAUCUCACAGGAUUAUCAGGAGGACGAAUGAGAUAAUUCUCAGGCUAAAGAAAAUAUCACCUAAUGCUUCUGAUAUACAGAAUUGUGUGCUGCAAAUGGUUGAAAAGAUUUUAGUUUCAACACCUAAUUCCCAUCAUUCUGUGGCAAAAUAUAUCUUGAGUUCUGAUGGGCGCCAGAACAACAUCUGAAGAUUGAAUGAAACUUCUAAAGUGAUAACAAGGCCCGUCCUGUACUUCACAGAAGACUUCUGAGGGUCAAAGAGAAGAUUUAUAGUUCUGGAGGUCAGAAGUCCAAGCUGAGUUUCACUGGCCCAAAUUCAAGAGUACCAGGCCAGAUUUCCAAAUGGGACAACAGGUGGAACUCUCAUUUUGCUCAUGUUCAGGCUGGAGUGCAGUGACACGAUCAUGGCUCGCUGCAGCCUUGACCUCCUGGGCUCAAGCUAUCCUCCCAUGUCAGCCUUCUGAUUAGCUGGGACUAUAGGCAUGCACCAUCAC
rnacentral:lncRNA from 10 species